GACUGUGAUGACCUGAGAUUUCUUCACUUUGACCUGAACUGUUUUGAAGAAACACAGACUCUGAGG
ensembl:snoRNA small nucleolar RNA, C/D box 37